GUUCGAAAUACAGGUGAACGGCAAUCAUGUGAUUAACACACACACACAUAAAAAGCUUUUUAACAGCGCCCGCCCGGCCUCAGAACCGCCCGGAGAGGAGCCGCCCUGGAUGGACAGAGGGACGGAGGGACGAGCAUCCGGCCAGUUGCAUCCUGGCUGCCCAACAGCGGUCUCCAACACCCGCUGCUGCCUGCCCGCUGCCCGCCUGCCCGGCAUCUCUCUCCCGGGCUACCUUGAUCGCCAAGGACAUGUGAGUAGAUCCCAGCCUGAAAGCAAGAGCCUUGGGGAAGUUGUGUGCAGUACCCUGAACAUCCAGCCACUCCUGCAUCUUCCUCCAGCCCUGCGGCUUUGCAGGCAUCCCCAGGAACCUCCCAGGGACCCUUGAAAUGGCUGCAUCUCAAGAGGCUCCGCACCUGUGACUGCUUCCACCACCUGCUGUGACACUACCGUCACCAACGCAGGCUGCCUGGUUCCUGACGCAUCAGUGUCUCGCUGCCUUUCCUGCUCCCAGAGCCUGUGGGGCCCUCGCUGGUCUCCUUCCCCGGGGUCCUGGGCAUGGUGGGUGCUCAAUAAAUGGUAGCGACUGAAUGAAUGAGCA
rnacentral:lncRNA from 1 species